rnacentral:rRNA from 1 species
UUCCAGACUCCUACGGGAGGCAGCAGUGGGGAAUAUUGGGCAAUGGGCGCAGGCCUGACCCAGCAACGCCGCGUGAAGGAAGAAGGCUUUCGGGUUGUAAACUUCUUUUAUGAGGGACGAAAGAAAUGACGGUACCUCAUGAAUAAGCCACGGCUAACUACGUGCCAGCAGCCGCGGUAAUACGUAGGUGGCAAGCGUUAUCCGGAUUUACUGGGUGUAAAGGGCGUGUAGGCGGGACUGCAAGUCAGAUGUGAAAACCACGGGCUCAACCUGUGGCCUGCAUUUGAAACUGUAGUUCUUGAGUACUGGAGAGGCAGACGGAAUUCCUAGUGUAGCGGUGAAAUGCGUAGAUAUUAGGAGGAACACCAGUGGCGAAGGCGGUCUGCUGGACAGCAACUGACGCUGAGGCGCGAAAGCGUGGGGAGCAAACAGGAUUAGAUACCCCGGUAC